ACAUGAACAACGUCACAUUUCUCCACUGUAUUUUUUUCCCAAUAAUUCGAUUCUGAAAUUCCAGCUAGCUGCACAUCUCCUUUUCAACGUAACGACCCAGCAUUAGCUUUACGUGCUGUUAGCUCGUUGGAAUACAUUUGCAAUUGUAAGGUGCUAAAGAUUAGAAAAAGCAAUGAUCGUGUACCAAACCACGACCAAUUUUAACCAACCUCUUCGGAAAGGGUGAUGGUGUGGGUCGGCAUCUCCUUCACCGGAAAAACAAGGUGUAGCUUCAUUGAAGGGAGUCUUAGUCCGUAGAUUACGCAAUGAGAUUCUUCAAGCAAUGGCAGCCCCAUUGCACUACAGUCUGGGACCAAACUCCUUCCUCUAAGAUGACAACGCUCACUCCCACAUUCAAUUCCGCUCCUCAUGUCAGAUCGGGCUGUUCCUUGCAAAAGUGUCACAGCUUAAAACGGUUAUCAAGAGGCCUUCCAAUGGUAUAUUUAUUCUUAAGACGCAGAAUAACAACACAGAACUAACCGUACAAACAUAAAUGUCUGUUUAUAUCUGACAUGGACUCAUGGGCUUGUGUAUCUCUAUAGUGCUGUAUUUGCUACAACAGAGAAGCUCUGCCUUCCAGCAAGAAGGUUCUGAAUUUGGAUGUGUUCAAUACCUUACGGUGACAGGAUUACAUGUGUGGGAAUGGGUUCUUUCCGGGCAAUCUGGUUUCUCAAUAUUAUCACCUCAAGAUGUAAUGUACUUUAGACAUGGCUGUCCAAAUGAUAAUGGGUAGUAGUGCACUGUCAUGUAUGGCCCUACACUAUAUGUUCAUAAAAUUUACCAAUGAACAAUUCUUUCAAUUUUUUUCCCUCCAAUUUAAUCGCUUGGAGGGAUUUGACCCAAUGAGCUCAAUCAUCAGAUAUAUACAGUAUCAAUCAUCACUCUUAAUUUAAAGAGUAGUUUAAAAAAAAAGUUUUGCUUCUUGUGACAGUCAAACUAUUAACAUGAAUUCACACAUUAGCAAAACUUGAAUUCCAAUCACCUGUCUUAGUUUUACUACGAACUGUAAUGUGCCACACUAUGAUGAGCAACUGCCAUUUACCGUCAUCAUCACUACUACACAGUUCAAAAGGUACACAGCUCUAUAAG